ACAGUACAUACUAGUACGUCUCCGUAUCUGAUAAAAGCAUCGGGAAAUAUGGCGCUCGCAAACGACGAAGCAAGGAUAAACUCAAACCCAAAGGCUUCUGAUAUGAUGGACUUUUGUCGGCCCUGGGUUUUUUCAAAGCUUCGUUCUGUGCCGUCGCAACACCGGCUCCAUAUCGAUGGAUAUAUCAAGUAAAUCAAUUACUUUACAUCAUACUCGCUCGCUGUUUAAAUGACCCAUCCAAAGUCAUUUCAUAUCCAUCGCGUCUUAUGCGCGAAGAUGCUGACUCUGUCUCCCAUUCCGCGGACAGAUAUUUGCCAUGAAUC
rnacentral:sRNA from 1 species